GAUGAAGAACGUAGCGAAAUGCGAUACGUAAUGUGAAUCGCAGAAUUCAGUGAAUCAUCGAAUCUUUGAACGCAUAUUGCGCUCUUUGGUAUUCCGAAGAGCAUGCUUGUUUGAGUAUCAGUAAACACCUCAAAGCUUUUGGAUUUUUUAAUCGAAAAGCUUUGGACUUGAGCAAUCCCAACACCAAUCUUUUUGAGAUCGGUGGCGGGUUGCUUGAAAUGCAGGUGCAGCUGGACAUUCUCCUGAGCUAAAAGCAUAUUCAUUUAGUCCCGUCAAACGGAUUAUUACUUUUGCUGCAGCUAACAUAAAGGGAGUUUGACCGUAUUGGCUGACUGAUGCAGGAUUUCACAAGGGUCGGCAACGAUUCUUGUUAAACUCGAUCUCAAAUCAAGUAAGACUACCCGCUGAACUUAAGCAUAUCAAUAAGCGGAGGA
rnacentral:misc_RNA from 1 species